CGUUCCUUUAACCUUGCACCAAGUGGUUAGGUGCAUUUCAGGAACAGGACGAGGCACAGUCAACAUCCACAAGGACCAAAUGGUAGCUCAGGAAUGUUAUUCAAUAGCCAUCAAGCCUUUGAAAGGGAAAAAAAUCAGAAUCGAGGGAAGUUCUCAAAAAUUAAGCUAAGAGAAACUUUGUUCUUGAUAAAAUCCUCAAAAAUCAAACACUGAUUUGCAUCGGAGUAUCCCUUGCCAGCACACACUCGAAGUCAUAUAAACAAGGAUUCGCGAAUAUUUCAAGUUUAAUCUAGUUCAAUUAGAGGAAUCAGGUAUUGUUCUAUGACAAUAAAAUUCGGAUCCGGAUUUUUCCAGAUCCGCAUAUUAAAAAAUACCGAUCCAGAUUUAAAAAAUAAAGAUUCACACGAAUCCGAAUCCAAGUGCACUUGCAUUCAGAAAAUCGAAUAUCUGAAUCUGGUUUAAUUUUGUUUAAAUUAAAAAUUAAAUUAAAAAAUAUAUAUUAACUUAAAUUAAAAAAAAUCUAACCUAAAUGGCUAAGUCCCUAACCAUUGCAUCCAAUUCCACGCACACUCAAGCCUCACGGUACCUCACCAACAGGCGUAACCCUCAACCCUAAUGCCCAAAUCUGAAGGGCUUGUAACGCUGUCGACCAAUUGUCGUCUUCCUUGCAGCCUCGCCUCAGCAUCGCGUCAAAGCCUCACCUGAGUACGUUGCUGUCACUGCACAUUGCAGGCCUCGCCGUCGUCAAAG
rnacentral:lncRNA from 1 species